rnacentral:rRNA from 1 species
CCUUAGGGGGGAGAAAUAUUGGACAAUAGGGCGAAAGCCUGAUCCAGCCAUGCCGCGUGUGUGAAGAAGGUCUUCGGAUUGUAAAGCACUUUAAGUUGGGAGGAAGGGUUGUAGUUUAAUACGCUGCAAUCUUGACGUUACCAACAGAAUAAGCACCGGCUAACUCUGUGCCAGCAGCCGCGGUA